rnacentral:rRNA from 1 species
GUCUGCGGCCAUGCCACCCUGAACAAGCCCCAUGUCUGGUCUGGGAAGCUAAGCAGGGUCAGGCCUGGUUAGUACUUGGAUGGGAGACCACCUAGGAUAGACCAGGUGCUAUAGGCA